GUACAUCAAAAGGUGCUAUUGACAAUUCAGUGACUGCACGGGAUGAGGAGGCUGAGCGGAUUUAAAGAAGCUCAACACCAUGGGUCUGAAAGGAUGUGAAGCUGUAGAGAAGCUGUUGCUGAGAAAACACCAGAACUGGAUAUCUGAGAUGUAUGGUUUGAGAAAAGUUUUGGCCUAAAACCCUAAUUUCUGAAAUACAUUCUCGGCAGAAAAAUACCUGCAGAGUGUUUGUAAG